CAUGUGGUUAAUUUCGAAGCAACGCGAAGAACUUACCAGGCCUUGACAUGCAGAGAACUUUCCAGAGAUGGAUUGGUGCCUUCGGGAACUCUGACACAGGUGCUGCAUGGCUGUCGUCAGCUCGUGUCGUGAGAUGUUGGGUUAAGUCCCGUAACGAGCGCAACCCUUGUCCUUAGUUACCAGCACGUUAUGGUGGGCACUCUAAGGAGACUGCCGGUGACAAACCGGAGGAAGGUGGGGAUGACGUCAAGUCAUCAUGGUCCUUACGGCCUGGGCUACACACGUGCUACAAUGGUCGGUACAAAGGGUUGCCAAGCCGCGAGGUGGAGCUAAUCCCAUAAAACCGAUCGUAGUCCGGAUCGCAGUCUGCAACUCGACUGCGUGAAGUCGGAAUCGCUAGUAAUCGUGAAUCAGAAUGUCACGGUGAAUACGUUCCCGGGCCUU
rnacentral:rRNA from 1 species